AUAUUUACCUGGCAAGGGAGUUUAAUAUGAUCACAAAGGUGGUUUUCCAAGGGUGAGGCAUACCCAUUCUACUCUGAGUGUGCUGACCUCUGUGAUUUCCCCAAAUGUGGGAAAUUUGACUGCAUAACUUGUGGUAGUGGAGGACAGUGUUCGUGCUCUCCCCUG